CGUAGGGUGCGAGCGUUGUCCGGAAUUAUUGGGCGUAAAGAGCUCGUAGGCGGCCUGUUGCGUCCGCUGUGAAAGCCCGGGGCUUAACCCCGGGUCUGCAGUGGAUACGGGCAGGCUAGAGUUCGGCAGGGGAGACUGGAAUUCCUGGUGUAGCGGUGAAAUGCGCAGAUAUCAGGAGGAACACCGGUGGCGAAGGCGGGUCUCUGGGCCGAUACUGACGCUGAGGAGCGAAAGCGUGGGGAGCGAACAGGAUUAGAUACCCUGGUAGUCCACGCCGUAAACGUUGGGCGCUAGGUGUGGGGUCCCCUCCACGGGUUCCGUGCCGUGGCUAACGCAUUAAGCGCCCCGCCUGGGGAGUACGGCCGCAAGGCUA
rnacentral:rRNA from 1 species